rnacentral:lncRNA from 10 species
GGAAGAUUCAAUGGACAUGAACAUGAGCCCCUGAGGCCUGAGGACCAUGUUUUUCAUUGUGAACCAAAGGCUGACAAACAUUACCAUCUUAAGGUGGAUAAUGAUGAAAAUGAGCAUCAGUUAUCUUUAAGAAUGGUCAGCUUAGAGGCUGGUGCAAAUGAUGAACUGCAGAUUGUUGACACAGAGACAAUGAAUUACGAAGGCAGUCCAAUUAAAAUAAUACUGGCAACUGCCAAUGAUUUCCCUUGGGGUCUUUGAAAUAACACCACCCAUGGCCUUUGGGUUGAAGUAUGGUUCAGGGCCUGUGCAUAUCAGGUAACAGCACUUAGGAGCUGGGGAGGAAGGUGAAGAGGCUUAGAAGAUCAAGAAGAGGAGGACAUGAAACUCUUAGGUACAUUUGGAAAGUGAUCUGCCCCUGGAGGUGGUAGCAAGGUUACCCGGGUUGUGGAGAGGAAGAGGAGACAAGAAUAAGCUCCACUGAAGAAAUCUGUAUGAGACACUCCAGCCAAAAAUGCACAAAAAUCAAACCAAAAUGGAAAAGAUUCAAAACCAUCAACACCAAGAUCAAGAAUCCUUCAAAAAACAGGAGAAAAAAAAACAAACAAACUUCCUAAAACACCAAGAGAACCUAGUUCUGUAGAAGACAUUAAAGCAAAACAGCAAGGAAGUACAGAAAAAGCUGGUUUUCUUCCCAAAGUGGAAGCCAAGUUCGUCAAUUAUAUAAAGAAUUGCUUCUGGAAGACUGACCAGGAGGUAAUUCAAGAUCUCUGGCAGUGGAGAAAGUCU